rnacentral:snRNA from 1 species
UGCUCCCUUUGGCAGCACAUAUACUAAAAUUGGAAUG